AUGGAAGAAGAAAUCGCUGCACUCCUCACUGACAUGUACAAAGCUGGCUUUGCUGGCGACGCCGCCCCCAGGGCCGUGUUCCCUUACUUCAUAGAGCACCCCCGACAUCAGGGCGUCAUGGUGGGCAUGGGCCAGAGAGACUUCUACAUGGAUGAUGAGGCCCAGAGCAAGAGGGGCAUCCUGACCCUGAAGUACCCUAUCAAGCAUGGCAUUGUCACCAACUGGGAUGACAUGGAGAAGAACUGGCACCACACCUUCUACAAUGAGCUUCGUGUGGCCCCUUAAGAGCACCUGGUGCUUCUGGCCGAGGCCCCCCUGAGCCCCAAAGCUAACAGAGAGAAGAUGACGCAGAUAAUGUUUGAAACCUUCAAUACCCCAGCCAUGUACGUGGCCAUUCAGAAGGCGGUGCUGUCCUUGUAUGCAUCUGGGUGCACCACUGGCAUUGCUAUGGACUCUGGUGGUGGGGGUCACACACAUUGCCCAUCUAUGAGGGCAUCUUGUGUCUGAACCUGGCUGGCCUGGACCUGACAGACUACCUCAUGAAGAUCCUGACUGAACGGGGCUACAGCUUUACCACCACUGCUGAGAGGGAAAUUGUUCAUGACAUAAAGGAGAAGCUGUGUUGUGUUGACCUGGAUUUUGAGCAAGAAAUGGCUACGGCUGCAUCAUCUUCCUCCUUGCAGAAGAGUUAUGAGCUGCCCGAUGGGCAGGUGAUCGCCAUCAGCAAUGAGCGUUUCCAGUGUUCAGAGGCACUCUUCCAGCCUUCCUUCCUGGACAUGGAGUCCUGUGGCAUCUGUGAGACCACCUUUAACUCCAUCAUGAAGUGUGAUGUGGACAUCCACAGUAUGCCAAUACAGUGCUGUCUGGUGGUACCACCAUGUCCCCAGGCAUUGCUGACAGGAUGCAGAAGAUCACAGCCCUAGCACCAAGUAAUAAAAAAAUUAAGAUCAUUGCUCCCCCUGAGUGCAAGUACUCAGUCUAUAUUGGUGGCUCCAUUCUGGCUUUGAUAUCCACCUUCCAAUCCUGA